rnacentral:rRNA from 1 species
GAUGAACGCUGGCGGCGUGCCUAAUACAUGCAAGUCGAGCGAACAGACGAGGAGCUUGCUCCUCUGACGUUAGCGGCGGACGGGUGAGUAACACGUGGAUAACCUACCUAUAAGACUGGGAUAACUUCGGGAAACCGGAGCUAAUACCGGAUAAUAUAUUGAACCGCAUGGUUCAAUAGUGAAAGACGGUUUUGCUGUCACUUAUAGAUGGAUCCGCGCCGCAUUAGCUAGUUGGUAAGGUAACGGCUUACCACGGCGACGAUGCGUAGCCGACCUGAGAGGGUGAUCGGCCACACUGGAACUGAGACACGGUCCAGACUCCUACGGGAGGCAGCAGUAGGGAAUCUUCCGCAAUGGGCGAAAGCCUGACGGAGCAACGCCGCGUGAGUGAUGAAGGUCUUCGGAUCGUAAAACUCUGUUAUUAGGGAAGAACAAAUGUGUAAGUAACUAUGCACGUCUUGACGGUACCUAAUCAGAAAGCCACGGCUAACUACGUG